AAUGCGACCUCAGCUCAGGCGGGGCUACCCGCUGAGUUUAAGCAUAUCAAUAAGCGGAG
rnacentral:rRNA from 1 species